rnacentral:tRNA from 1 species
AGGAUAAUAGUUUAUAAUUAAAAACAUUUGACUUGCAUUCAAAAAAUAUUAAAUUUUUAAUUUAUCUUA